GAUGAACGCUGGCGGUGCGCCUAAUACAUGCAAGUCGAACGAGAACCACGCGAAGUUUACUUCAUUGUGGGGAAAGUGGCGGACGAGUGAGUAACACGUAAGAAUCUGCCCCGUACUCAGGGAUAACUCGGCGAAAGUCGGGCUAAUACCGGAUAGUCUCGAAAGAGUAAAGAUUUAUCGGUACGGGAGGAGCUUGCGGCCUAUCAGCUUGUUGGUAAGGUAAAAGCUUACCAAGGCUAUGACGGGUAGCUGGUCUGAGAGGAUGAUCAGUCACGAUGGAACUGAGACACGGUCCAUACUCCUACGGGAGGCAGCAGUAGGGAAUCUUCCGCAAUGGGCGAAAGCCUGACGGAGCGACACCGCGUGGUGGAUGAAGGCCCCAUGGGUUGUAAACACCUUUUCUGAGGGAAGAAGUUCUGACGGUACCUCAGGAAUAAGCCCCGGCUAAUUACG
rnacentral:rRNA from 1 species